rnacentral:ncRNA from 1 species
GCACGCCGUAUGCGAUGAAAGUCGCACGUACGGUGUAGGCUCCAAGUGAAAUUUAUGAAGCAAUAAUUAUAAGUGAUGCUCAUAAUAUAAGCGGAGAAUGGCAAACAAGAAUUAACAGUUGAAUCUGU